CACCGUCAUCUUUCGCGCCAAAAGCAGCUACCAGCGCAGACACGCUGAACUCUCCCAGCCUCAGCAAAGGCCGAGCCUAGAAAAACAACUCAGGAGAAACUAAAGAAGAGGAAGGCAUGGUUCCCAGAAUCUAACAACAAUUACUACUACAGAACAACAACAGCAAAGGGUGGACAACUCCAGAUAGGGAGAAGGCUGCCUUUCUCUUUACUGGGAUGAGGAUUAACAUUGCUGAAGAACCAUUAGUGAUUUGGAAAAC